rnacentral:lncRNA from 1 species
GGUUUCUUCCGAAGGUUCAAUUUUUAUUCAUGAAGAAGGAUCCCUGCUUUGCAUAUGGAAUAACUGGCUAGGAAAUCCAAUUAGACUAUCUGCUGACCAUCCAUCCAGCUCUACAGGGACAAGUAAGUAAUUUCCAAGUGGAAUUUAUGUUCCAAAACCUGUCGUGCAAGAAUCAUGAUUUUGCAAGCAGUGAAAAUGAAAUAAGAAACAGAAUAGGAAUAUGCCAAAAAACAGACAGUUACAAAUUGCGCUAAACAUUAUCUAGUUGUUGCUUAAUCAAACUUCUCUAAUAUCUGAUUUCUUUUAUCAAGAUCUUCAUUUAAUAAAGAAUUGGGAGAAAAGGAAAAUCAGAAGCAAAGGCACCAGGUUUUGCAACAAUGCUUUUAUUAUCAGAGACAGUGCUAUAGCUAUCAAAACUUUCAGCUUAUGGUAUGUAAUACAAGGUAAAACAGUAGCAUCAAAAAACAGUUGUUAAUCAAUGUGCUAGAGAAGGUAUAUUUGAGAACUCUGCUCCCUUGAUAGAUAGCUCUGUGCUGGGGCUGCAGAACUUUUAUUUACAAACACUCCCUCCAACACUACAUGCUCUGGUAUUUCUCUACCAAAAUGUAGAGAAUAAAUAAAUUUAUCUCAUGGACUCUCGCAGAAUUCCAUCACCUGAGACAUCAUCAAAGUACUGAUAAAUUAAAAGAGCACUAAGAAGAUAUUGAACCUCUACUGAUCCUGAAUGUGUUCUAUCUAUUCCAUAAUUUAGCAAUAGACGGAAGCAAUAGGUAAACAUAUG